CCUACGGGAGGCAGCAGUGAGGAAUAUUGGUCAAUGGACGCAAGUCUGAACCAGCCAUGCCGCGUGCAGGAAGACGGCUCUAUGAGUUGUAAACUGCUUUUGUACGAGGGUAAACGCAGAUACGCGUAUCUGUCUGACAGUACCGUAUGAAUAAGGAUCGGCUAACUCCGUGCCAGCAGCCGCGGUAAUACGGAGGAUUCAAGCGUUAUCCGGAUUUAUUGGGUUUAAAGGGUGCGUAGGCGGUCGGAUAAGUUAGAUGUGAAAUCCCGAGGCUCAACUUCGGAAUUGCAUCUGAUACUGGGCGGCUAGAGAGUAGUAGAGGUAGGCGGAAUGUAUGGUGUAGCGGUGAAAUGCUUAGAGAUCAUACAGAACACCGAUUGCGAAGGCAGCUUACCAAGCUACUACUGACGUUGAGGCACGAAAGCGUGGGGAGCAAACAGGAUUAGAUACCCCAGUAGUC
rnacentral:rRNA from 1 species